rnacentral:lncRNA from 1 species
AAUGUUUUUCAAUUGCCAACACAUGCCAAAUUUUGCAUAUUCGUUCCAUGGAGAGUGUGGAAGUAAUGUAAUAAUGUGGCACUGAGAUUGGCGAGUGACGCCUACUUCCAGUGUACAGAUUUAUCAAAAUGCACAUGAGUUGUCCUAUCAAAUGUUCAGAAAACUGUUAUGUGUUAAAACUGCUGCCAGAUUAGUUCACAUGUGUCUUUCUCUUUACAUAAUUUCUUGCUUCUUACUGAACUUUACGCUGCAUUUCUCUGAACUUUCUUGCUUGCUUGAUUGCGUCGCCUCAACUUUGGCUAGUGUUCUUCCCUCUCCCAUAUGGUCGCCAUCUAGGUUCUCUUCCAGCACUUGCUCAGAUCAUCCGACAAGGCUCUCUGCCAGAUGCCUAAUUCUUAUUUUCUGAUGUUUUGUGUGCAGGAUUAUGGCAAGGAGCAGUGGUCGUUCGGGUUCUGGGGGAACGACAUGCACAGGUUAACUCCGAAAUUCAGAAUUUAAGUCUUCGUAUUGACAUCCGAGACGAAGAGAAGUGCUGCAGAGACGCGUUUUAUUUCAAAGUUACGAUACUUAUAAAGUAAACCAUGCUUUGUCAACCUAAUAUGUGUAUGUAUAGGCAAUAAAGGUGAAGAACAGAGUCUUUACUUCUUCUCUUCCAACGGAUCUCCUAGCUAAAUGAAGAUAUGGAUAGGUGCUACUGAAGUAGCCAACAUAUACUUAGUAUGGAGGAGAGCGCGUGGGUGUACAUAAUAGGGAAGCAAGUGAGAUCCCAAGAAAAUACGCAUACAAGUAUAUCGCAAGGUGAAUGCUAUAUUAUUCUUAAAUGAAAAUUACACUAGGUUGACUUUUAAUAUACAUGGAGCAUCCUUUUUUCAACAGUCUAAUUACUCCAUGUAAUUACUGCAUCCAUUUUGGUAUGUGAUACUACAAGUGUAAAUUCAGGAGAAAAAAACUAUGUUGUUUAGUGUGAGCUGCAAAUUUAGUUUUUGUUGGUGGAUUUCCUCAACCAUAUUUUCACUGCAUAGAGUGGACUUGGUAGGAGUCUGUUAUUCAGCUCUGUUCUAUGUUUGGAGAGCACUCUCUUUUUCCCUUUUGUGGGAAAAUAUUUUAUAGUGCACUAACCCAUGAUUAGUAGCUGUGGUAUAUGAUGAUUAUCCAAUGACAAAACUGUUACAGAAACCUUCAUUUUGAUAAGGAAUCAUGACCUAAGGUCUUUCUAUACAUUUGCCUGGCUAAUUUGAUAUAUAUAUAUAUAUAUAGGACAAAUUUUAUCUACCACCAGUGGUAGUUACCACCACUUGAGUUUUGUAUGUUGUAUGUAGUAUCUAUCAAAUCGGAGAGUAUGUACGCGUAGUAUGUAGUAUAUAAGAAUGUUUAGGUAGUAUAUAUACUACUUUUUUGAUAGUAUGUAUCGUAUUUUGAGUAUGCUCCUUUUUACAUACAAAUAUGUACGUAUUUCAUAAAUAAAAUAAAAAUCAUGGGUCAACUUGCAAUUUUUUCAUGUAACUCACUUUGGAGUAUCUUAUAUUUAUUAUGUAAACAUACUUAAAAUGUUAAAGCAGAAUAUAUACUACCACAUGUUAGUAUAUGAGACAUGUGGGGUAACUACCCCCAGGUGGUAGGAUGGAUUUUCCCUAUAUAUAUAUAUAUUAUUUUUACAUUUCAUCUUCUAUUUCAAGUAAAUUCUUGCCCAGCAUGCUAUUUACCACUUAUACGUACUUUAGCCUGCACAAUUGACGGACCUGCUACAGUUAAGUAGGAAAUUUCAGGCAUGGACCAAGGAAACAAGAUGCUGAUGGAGCGUCCUAUAUUGCUGCUACCUGAUUUUCUGUGAACUUUCAAAUUAGUUUUGCGCUGUCCUUCAACCACUGCUUUUUAUAAUCCAGAAGAAUUGGUAUCUGCAUAGGCAAUUGGUAGUGCAGUGCGCUUGCUUAGGCCAUCAAACAUAUGGGUAGAGAUAAGAGUUUAGGCACCCGGAUAAGUGGAUAUAGAGAUUGCAGGCCAAUAUAUCAUUAGCUGUACGAUAUGAAACAACUUAAGUGGCAAUAUCAAAUGUUCUUCUCUUUUCGUAGACAAAAGGGAUAAUGUGUUUUACUAUAUAUAUAUAUAUAUAUAAAUUGACAUGCCAUAGAUAUUUAUGGUACGAUGCCUUUCCCACACAUUCAAUGGACAGUCCACUUCCAUAUUUAUUUCUUCUUACACCCAGAAUAUGUCUCUCUUUUAAGUAUUGACUGAAACAUUAGCAAUAAAAUUAUUAGAAGAGUUUAUUCUUGCCUACAUCGAAGCACUAUAAUAUCUACCAUUCAGUUACAGUUUGAAGUUCAUAUAUCGUAAUAGUAUUAUAGGUUGUUUUUAUAUUUUUAUCAAUUGAUGCUUUCUUAUUAGAUUUUUUUCAAACUGGCUUCCUUCUCAACAUCCUAUACUAAUAUAGGUUAUUGGAUAAAGUUCUGUACUGAUAGUCCAAAACUUUGUGGUCGCCCAGGCUAUUCAGCCUUUAAUCAUAUUUAACAUCAUCAGGUAAGUAACGAUGUCAUGAUCAGAAGUCAUUGGCUAUGUGCUAUAUAUAUGCGCAUAAUUUGAUAAACUACAUUGCGCAUUCGAUUGUUUUCAGGAACAAUAAAUUUGCUUAAUUUUUUUAACUCAAUGUGAAAAUGAACAUUGAUGUUUUUUGUCCCUCGAAGGAGACGAGGUUUAAUAUUUGCUUACAUGACCAGGAACAUUAGGAGAUGUUCAAAUGAGUAGUUAAAGAAGAAGAGUUAUUUGCAAAGAUGGUAUCUUUCUUUUCUGUACAAAGAUGAUGGCUAUACCCACAAUAUUGCUCUUAUUACCUUCUUUUGAUGUAGACCUUGGCUCAUUUUCGUAGCAACAAAAAUUCUGAAUUUAUUGUGCGCACAUGCUUAUUUGGCCAAUCAGGAUAAUAAUAAUUUUGCGGUUUUUGUACAAGUUUUAUCAGUUUAUUGUUUUCAAAAUUAGAAUCUUGCUGAUUAACCUAUCUGCAUUUUGUAGUUCAGUAGCUACCUACACGAGGUUGGUCCAUUAACUCUUUUGUAGAACCAGAUUGUUGAUAUUUCCUCAGAAGUAAAAUGUUACCUUUUCCUUUACUCGCUUACUUGAAUCCAGACUAUUAGGUACCCACCUUCCAAGAUAUAUAAACAACCAAAAAUAUCACGUCAGGCUAUGCUUUGGUUAUUGAUCAAACAACCAACACUCUGGUGUAUAGGAUCUCUGGAUAAACAAGCUCGAGGAGGCCGUUGUUUGGUGCAGCCCAUGACAGCAACUACACGAUUGACCACUGAAGCAAGGUCCUUAUAUGGUCACUGAAGAAAUCAUCUUUCCUCCGACCGAAGGGCACUUUUCUUGAAUCUUAGUCAGUGUCUGUUGUAAUUUACUAUCAUCCCUAAGAGAAACUUAAUUCUGUGUUGCCGUUCUUUAUCUCUAUUGUUUAAUCCAAAUUACUACUGUGACAUGAUAACAUAUAUGAUGCAAUGGAAAAUAUUCCUAAGAACUGCACGGACACAGUGCUUUAUCAUGUCUUGAGCACAUUUUAUUUAUUGUGUUGCCCAUGUGUACAACUACUUGGAUCAUCUAAUUGCAGACUCAACUAUUGUAAGCUACUAAUGAUCUAAUAUGUUACAUUCUUACAAUAUUAAGCAAAUAUUUG